GACGAACGCUGGCGGCGUGCUUAACACAUGCAAGUCGAACGAAAAGAGGGAAAGAGCUUGCUCUUUCCGGAAUUGAGUGGCAAACGGGUGAGUAACACGUAAACAACCUGCCUUCAGGAUGGGGACAACAGACGGAAACGACUGCUAAUACCGAAUAAGUUCCAAGAGCCGCAUGGCCCAUGGAAGAAAAGGUGGCCUCUACCUGUAAGCUAUCGCCUGAAGAGGGUUUUGCGUCGGAUUAGCUGGUUGGAGGGGUAACGGCCCACCAACGCGACGAUCAGUAGCCGGUCUGAGAGGAUGAACGGCCACACUGGAACUGAGACACGGUCCAGACUCCUACGGGAAGCAGCAGUAGGGAAUCUUCCGCAAUGGGCGAAAGCCUGACGGAGCAACGCCGCGUGAGUGAUGACGGCCUUCGGGUUGUAAAACUCUGUGAUCCGGGACGAAAAGGCAGAGUGCGAAGAACAAACUGCAUUGACGGUACCGGAAAAGCAAGCCACGGCUAACUACGUG
rnacentral:rRNA from 1 species